GUGGACAACCUGCCCGGGGGACGGGGAUAGCCCUCCUAACGGAGGGGUAAUACCCGGCGACCUGGUUUCGAGGCAUCUCGAGGCCAGCAAAGGAGUUUCGCCCCCGGAGGGGUUCACGUGGUAUUAGCUAGUUGGCGGGGUAACAGCCCACCAAGGCUCAGAUGCCUAGCAGGUGUGAGAGCACGACCUGCGCCACUGGCACUGUGACACUGGCCAGACUCCUACGGGAGGCUGCAGUCGAGGAUCUUCGGCAAUGGGCGCAAGCCUGACCGAGCGACGCCGCGUGUGCGAUGAAGGCCUUCGGGUUGUAAAGCACUGUCGAGGGGGAGGAAAGCCCGCAAGGGCCUGACCUAUCCCUGGAGGAAGCACGGGCUAAGUUCGUGCCAGCAGCCGCGGUAAGACGAACCGUGCGAACGUUGUUCGGAUUCACUGGGCUUAAAGGGCGCGUAGGCGGGCAGACCAGUCGGGGGUGAAAUCUCACGGCCCAACCGUGAAACAGCCUCCGAUACUAGCUGCCUC
rnacentral:rRNA from 1 species